rnacentral:lncRNA from 1 species
UUAUGUGAUACUUUUGAUUGAAUAUGUUUUAUUUUGAUUUUUAAUCAUGAGGAUGUCUGUUAUGGAUUGUUAUGUAUGUGAUUUCAAACUUUUCAUAUAUUUCUAAUUUGAUUCUGCUUUCACAAACAUUUGUACUGCUUCCUUGUCUAACUAAAAAUACUUUUCAUGCAAACUUUUGUGAAAGGGAACCAGAUGUGUGAUUUAAUAAGUUGAAAGUGUUAUGUAAUAUUGUUGCUUCAAAUCUUGUUGGUUAUGUUAUUUGUAUGAGAAGAUACCAUGUUGUGACUUAAAAUUGUCACAUGAUAUGGAAUGUUACUGUUAGGUAUCAUGUGAUGUUAUUGUUAUAAGAUGUUACAGUGAUAAUAAUAUUUGAUAGGCAGUUUUUUACUUAAUACCUUUUUCAAGAAAUCCUAGUACUACCAGUUUUAAAUUAGCAGUGAUGGUUCUUACCGAAUAUAGAUAACCAUUCAGUAUGGCAAAAAUGUUAGCCAGCCAAAACAUGUUAUAUGCAUGAUUAUUGAAAUACCAAUAAUAAAAAACAGUAGAUUAUUUAAAAGUGUUGAUGGAAUACAACAAACAAACAAAUUGCCUAUUAAAAAAAUUCAUGUAAAAUUGUUUCUGGUCAUGUGAUCAUGUAAAAAGUGGAAUUUUAUUCAAACAUUCAUAUUAUCUCUUCAUUAAUGAUUGUGUGUUAGCAGUUAAAUGAUGUGAUUGAUUGAUUGUGAUGUUAAUCUGAGGUUGUGCUUUGAAUAUUUUAUUCCAUUGUAAUCAUUAUUAUUUUCAUUUGUUAAGGCACAGUUGAU